rnacentral:rRNA from 1 species
GAUUCUGGCUCAGGAUGAACGCUAGCUACAGGCUAACACAUGCAAGUCGAGGGGCAGCAUUGGAGUAGCAAUACUCAGAUGGCGACCGGCGCACGGGUGAGUAACACGUAUCCAACCUGCCGCUUACUCGGGGAUAGCCUUUCGAAAGAAAGAUUAAUACCCGAUGGUAUAAAGAGUUCGCAUGUUCUCUUUAUUAAAGAAUUUCGGUAAGCGAUGGGGAUGCGUUCCAUUAGAUAGUUGGCGGGUAACGGCCCACCAAGUCUACGAUGGAUAGGGUCUGAGAGGAAGGUCCCCCACAUUGGAACUGAGACACGGUCCAAACUCCUACGGGAGGCAGCAGUGAGGAAUAUUGGUCAAUGGACGAGAGUCUGAACCAGCCAAGUAGCAUGAAGGAUGACUGCCCUAUGGGUUGUAAACUUCUUUUAUAAGGGAAUAAAGUGAGGGACGUGUCCCUUUUUGUAUGUACCUUAUGAAUAAGGAUCGGCUAACUCCGUGCCAGCAGCAGC